rnacentral:misc_RNA from 1 species
GAUGAAGAACGUAGCGAAAUGCGAUAAGUAAUGUGAAUUGCAGAAUCCAGUGAAUCAUCGAAUCUUUGAACGCACAUUGCGCCCGCCAGCAUUCUGGCGGGCAUGCCUGUCCGAGCGUCAUUUCAACCCUCAAGCACUGCUUGGCGUUGGGGCGCUACGCGCUGAGCGUAGGCCCCUAAAAUCAGUGGCGGACCCGCUGUGGCUCCGGGCGUAGUAGCAUCACCUCGCCCUGGGACCGCGGCGCGUUCCGGCCGUUAAACCCCCCACUAUAUCGAAGGUUGACCUCGGAUCAGGUAGGAAUACCCGCUGAACUUAAGCAUAUCAAUAAGCGGAGGA